UCUAUGGAUUUAUUUGCGGCCCUCAUUGUGGUGGGCACACCUGGAAGGAUUCUAGCUCUAGCUAGCGAGAAGGAUAUUUCUUGGACGACCAAAUCUUCUGGAGCGUCCUCAUGCUGCUAUCUGGAAUGGUGUAGCGCCUAUUUGGAGUGUCUGGGUGUGUCGUUCGCCCAUGCCGGCGGAGAAGACGGGGUGAUCUUGCCAAGCAGGGCCUCAUCGAGGGUAUCACCAAGAAGCUCAAAGAGGCCGCGACGCAUGGAGGUCUCAUUCGAUUGACUGAGGCAUAAAGAAAGCGUGGACUUUUUCUCUCGUGCACAUCUCUUUUGACCAAGACACGACAAUUAAGAGACUACUCUAGAUGUUUGGGUGCUUCCAUCUGAUUAUGAAAACGCCAAGAAAGAGCAAUUGCCAAGCCAGUCAUAUGGAGAUGCAUCUUCCAGGGGCUUCCCAGGAGGCAUGCCUGGAUUUGCGGGCGGAUCCGGUGGUGGUAUGCAUGCAGCAAUGGUUGGUUCUAUGCCUUAAGGAAUGGGCGGUGGUAUGCCUGUAGCAAUGGGUGGUGCUAUGCCUCAAGGAAUGGGCGAUGGUAUGCCUGCAGGAAUGGGUGGUGCUAUGCAUCAAUGCAUGAGUUAUGGUAUGUCUGGAGCUGGAGGUGCUUCCUAUACUAUC